CGGCACUGCAAACACUGAUAUUGAUUCAUGUGUCAUUCAAUGUUAAAGAUGUUAUAUUGAAAUAUAGCAAAUUUUCCUGCCAUAUAACUUGCCACAGGUAGGUAAAGGUCUAAGAAAAUCGUACAACAAUGUUAUUCUAACAUGUAGCAACACGUUCAGACUUGCAAAGUGCUUUAUUAUUAGUAAACGUACAGUAAACAUCAGUGGCGGUCGUGUAGUUUUCCUUAUUAGAAAAUGGAGUUAGAAAAAAAAUCAGUGGAAUAAAGAAAGUAUUAUACAGAGAGCGUGUAGAAUUAUGGGACACCCGUCGUCCAUUGUUUAACUUAAAACUUAAGGCACAAUUAGUGAUAUUAAUUGUUUAGAAAUUUUGACAUUUUGGGCAUCUGCUGCCUUUGCCAAAAUGUAGGCAACCAUAUAUUCCUUUUUGGGGUAAAAAUUGCGACUUGUUGCUGCGAAUAAUGCGAAAAUCUUGCUAUGGAAAAGGUUGUUACGGAAUUGGAUGCUAUGGAAUUUGUUGCUGUGGAAACAGUUUCAAUGAAGACUGCCUGGAAACAGUUGCAAUAGAAAUAGUUUUGAUAUACAUUUGCUAUCGAAACACGCAGUUGCUAUGGAAACAGCUCCUAUAGAAACAGUUGCUAUGAAACGGUGGCCAUGAAAAUAAGCAGUUGCUAUGGAAACAGUUGCGAUGGAUACAGUUGUUACAAUGGAAACAGUUGCUACAAAAAGGGUUUCUAUGGAAAUGGUUGCUAUGGAUACGGUUACUAUAAAAUUAUAAUGUAUUGAUAGAAACGGCUGCUAUCGAUACAAACAGCUACAAUGAAUACACUUUGUUUAAAAUUUAUUUUUUAAAAAUUUUUGAGGCAAAAUACCCAAAAAGAAGUUUGUAAAAAAAUGAAUCCGCUUCAACAAUAUAGAACUUAUCUAUGAAUACACUUGGUACUAUAGACGGUUGCUAUGGAAACGGUUGUUAUGGAAUUGGUCGCUAUGUGGACGAUUGCUAUGGAAAGAAACAGGUUUUUUUUUAUAUAUUUUUUGCUAUUUUUCGAUAUCUAGAAUCCAAAUACAUAAAACCUCAACACUCUGAAAACAGUUUAACAUUUUUACAAUGUAAAAACAAUAACAUUAUUCCAAAAGGCUUACGACUUAGAUGUCCAUAUAACAUCAAUACACAAGUAACAAAAAUCUUAAACAGAGCGAGUAAAGCUUUAGUUAGAGAAAUAAUUCAAUAUCACAGAUUAAAUAAAAUCAAAUUGAAAAACGAAACACUUGACCGAAAACAAGACUUACGAUACAAAUUCUUCUUUGACGACUUUAAUAAUAUACUUAUGUAAUUUCGUUAAUAAAACCUAUAAAAGAAAAUUUAUUAUUCAAAAACAAAUUCAUAAUCAUAAACUAGAAAAACUUCUUAACGAAAAAAUAAAGACUUUUUAGUAUAAAAAAUAAACAAUUUCUGGACAAAACAAUUAUAAAUUUAUUUAAUAAAUCAUUAACUGAUGCGGAAAAACUUGUUCGUAGAAUUUAAGAAGAAAGAAUUUCGUAUUAGAUCAAAAAUAAUUAUAGAAAAACCUUUCAAAAUUAAACAAAACAUACGCUCAAUGGAUCAAAAAGCAUUAAUGUCUUUAAAAAAAGAUAAAACAAUUAAAAUUUUGCCUGCUGACAAAGGUAAUGCGACCGUUAUCAUGGAUUAUAAUAUCUAUGAUCAAAAAAUUUAUGAACUUUUAAAUGGCAAAAGUUAUUCAAAAUUUAUCAAAAAUCCAACAGAACGUUUUGAAAUACAAAUUUAUAGCACUUUAAAAAAAUUUAAACAUGAAUUCACAGAUUACGUUAGAUCUAAAUUAACACUACGCAAUAGUAAAACACCACAUUUUUACGGAGUUCCAAAAAUUGAUAAAGUUAAUAUUCCUUGACGACCAAUAGUUAGUAGUAUAAAUUCACCUACACAUCCCUUGGCCAAAUAUCUUUUAAGCAUUUAAAAUCCCCUAAUAAAUAACACAACUUGCUAUAUUAAAAAUUUUGAACAUUUUUUACAAAAAUUAUUAAACAUAGACAUAAAUCCAAACCAUAUUCUAGUAAGUUUUGAUGUUGUUAGUCUAUUCACUAACGUUUAUGUUGAUAAAACUUUAAAUAUCAUCAAACAAAAAUUACAAAAUGACGUCAAUCUUAAAGAACGCACACAACUAUGCACAUUCUUGAACUUUUAACAAUAUGUGUAAAAUCAAUUUAUUUUCAAUACAAUGACAAUUUUUAUCAGCAAAAUUCUGGAAUGACUAUGGGGUCGCCACUAUCCCCAUUUUUCAGUAAUUUAUUUAUGGAAAAUUUUGAAUCAACUUUCAUUAAUAAUUACAAAAUUAAACCAAUAAUUUGGUGGCGUUAUAUUGAUGACGUAUUCUCCAUUUACAGUCAUGGCGAACAAAAACUUGAUGAAUUUUAAUCUUAUCUGAAUAAUAAAGAACCAACAAUUAAAUUCACUAUUGAAAAAUUCCUUUUCUCGAUAUUCUGAUUCAAAAAAAUUUAGACAAUUUUUUUGAUAACAAAAUAAUUAUUGAAUAAAUCCAUGGUUUCCCUAUUCCCACAAUCGUCUAAAGGCGCAAGCUCAAGUUAAUAAAAAACUGACGACUCUCGUUACUCGAUUGGCCUCAGGAAAAUCGCUCAGAAUCAAUUGGUGACCUUCCUGAUCCAGUUCUUCAGCGUCUCCAGGUCCACAUCGCCGCUCUUACUGCACGCAAACGACUCAGCAAAUUCCACUUUACAGUAGAGACUGCCAAAGGAAAACUCUUUGGAGGGAUCGCCCAGUUUUCCUCCAACCGUCUCCUUGGCGUCCAGCUGCCGCAGCUGAUUCAGCUGCGUGUUUCGCAGCGUGUUUCUG